rnacentral:rRNA from 1 species
UACGGAGGGUCCGAGCGUUAUCCGGAAUUAUUGGGUUUAAAGGGUCCGUAGGCGGGCGGUUAAGUCAGUGGUGAAAGUCUGUAGCUCAACUAUAGAAUUGCCUUUGAUACUGAUCGUCUUGAGUCAUGGUGAAGUUGGCGGAAUAUGUAGUGUAGCGGUGAAAUGCAUAGAUAUUACAUAGAACACCGAUUGCGAAGGCA